AUUGAACGCUGGCGGAAUGCUUUACACAUGCAAGUCGAGCGGCAGCGCGGGGCAACCUGGCGGCGAGCGGCGAACGGGUGAGUAAUACAUCGGAACGUGCCCAGACGUGGGGGAUAACUACUCGAAAGAGUAGCUAAUACCGCAUAUGAUCUAAGGCUGAAAGCGGGGGAUCGCAAGACCUCGAGCGUUUGGAGCGGCCGAUGGCAGGUGAGGUAGUUGGUGGGGGAAAGGCUUACCAAGCCUGCGAUCUGUAGCUUGUCUGAGAGGACGACCAGCCACACUGGGCCUGAGACACGGCCCAGACUCCUACGGUAGGCAGCGGUAGGGAAUAUUGGGCAAUGGACGCAAGUCUGACCCAGCCAUGCCGCGUGCAGGAUGAAGGCGUUAUGCGUUGUAAACUGCUUUUAUACAGGAAGAAGCGACUCUUGCGAGAGUCAUUGACGGUACUGUAUGAAUAAGCACCGGCUAACUCCGUGCCAGCCGCCGCGGUAAUAC
rnacentral:rRNA from 1 species